GUCUACGACCAUGCCACUCUGAACAAGCCUGAGGUCCGAUCUCACAAGCUAAGCAGGGUCGGUCCUGGUUAGUACUUGGAUGAGAGACCACCUAGGAAGACCAGGUGCUGUAGACA
rfam:Pteropus alecto contig78880, whole genome shotgun sequence.